UCGGGUCGUCACUCGACCUCGCCGGCGGCGGGGAUGAGCCUCCGGCCUCGGUCGGGUUUAGCCUCUGACGCCCCCUACAUAAAGUAGGGGAUGUGGGGCACCUUUUAUUCAUGAUAGCAUGCAUGCCUCAUGCGCAUAUCCAGUUC
rnacentral:SRP_RNA from 1 species